rnacentral:misc_RNA from 1 species
UUCUGUCUCCAAGUCAACAACACUUGGUUUUUGACAGGAAUAUGAAAAGUUCCGUAUAUGACAUCUUUGCUGAAGUUUCUCAAUCAAAAUUUCCUGGAUUUGAAAAGGCUGUCUGGUGGGAGUGCACCCAGGAGGAAAAUGAAGUAAUCUUUGUUCCCAGUGGAUGGUAUCAUCAAGUUCAUAAUCUGGAGGAUACCAUAUCCAUAAAUCAUAACUGGUUCAAUGGAUAUAAUUUAUUUUGGGUGUGGGAUUUGCUUUUAAAAGAUUACAACGAGGCUAGUGAAUACAUUGAAGACCUCAAGGGAUGUGAUGACUUUGAGGAGCUUUGCCAACGAAAUCUUG